rnacentral:rRNA from 1 species
UUCGUAGGGUGCAAGCGUUGUCCGGAAUUAUUGGGCGUAAAGAGCGUGUAGGCGGCUUGAUUGGUCUGCUGUGAAAGUCCAGGGCUCAACCCUGGAAUGCCGGUGGAUACUGUCAAGCUAGAGUCCGGAAGGGGCGAGUGGAAUUCCUGGUGUAGCGGUGAAAUGCGCAGAUAUCAGGAGGAACACCAAUGGCGAAGGCAGCUCGCUGGGACGUGACUGACGCUGAGACGCGAAAGCGUGGGGAGCAAACAGG